UACGGAGGGUGCGAGCGUUGUUCGGAAUGACUGGGCGUAAAGGGCGCGUAGGCGGCUCUCGAAGUCCACGGGUGAAAGGCCGGGGCUCAACCCCGCGCUGGCCCGGGAUACUGGGGAGCUGGAGACAGGCAGAGGCGGGUGGAAUUCCGGGUGUAGCGGUGGAAUGCGUAGAGAUCCGGAAGAACACCGGGGGCGAAGGCGGCCCGCUGGGCCUGGUCUGACGCUAAGGCGCGAAGGCGUGGGGAGCGAACAGG
rnacentral:rRNA from 1 species